CCUUCCCGAUAGCAGCAGAAAUGACAUUUCUAACGUGAAUGUCGUACCGUGCCAGCCAUAAUGAUAGUAGCAUAAUGAACAAAACCAUGAAUGAACCUGGUGAUCAGAAGUUCUUGCUUAAGUCUUGUCUGUAUGACCCAUGAUGGAACUCUCAGGAAGUCACUUGAACUUUCAAAUACGCACAUAGAGGUGGAGAUCUGAAGGAGAUACUUAUCAACUGGCUGACUCAUUGGCAGAUGCUUGCAUUUCCUAAAAUGGAGUUGAAUGUGAAUUAUAACUUCCACUGCAAAUAGGUAUUCUGUCUUACCAGCUGCUUCAAGAGUUUCUGUCCUUACCUUUGGAACCUGUUUGUAAUAUCUGCUUUAGAACUUUAGAUAAUUCCCAUCUUGAUGUCAUCUCAGAACUGGCCAGGUUGAGAUUUCUGGAUAAGG
ensembl:processed_transcript C230038L03Rik RIKEN cDNA C230038L03 gene